rnacentral:rRNA from 1 species
AACGAACGCUAUCGGUAUGCUUAACACAUGCAAGUCGGACGGACUAAUUAGGGCUUGCUCCAAUUAGUUAGUGGCAGACGGGUGAGUAACACGUGGGAAUCUGCCCAUCAGUACGGAAUAACUUUUAGAAAUAAAAGCUAAUACCGUAUAUUCUCUACAGAGGAAAGAUUUAUCGCUGAUGGAUGAGCCCGCGCCAGAUUAGGUAGUUGGUGAGGUAACGGCUCACCAAGCCGACGAUCUGUAGCUGGUCUGAGAGGAUGAUCAGCCACACUGGGACUGAGACACGGCCCAGACUCCUACGGGAGGCAGCAGUGGGGAAUAUUGGACAAUGGGCGAAAGCCUGAUCCAGCAAUACCGAGUGAGUGAUAAAGGCCCUAGGGUUGUAAAGCUCUUUUAGCAAGGAAGAUAAUGACGUUACUUGCAGAAAAAGCCCCGGCUAACUCCGUG